AAAAUUGGUGAUCGGAAUCAAUGGUGGGUGCAUCGAGCUCAUGGUCUCGCGCACUGGUUCAGAUCUCACCUUACACCUUCUCCGCCAUCGGCGUUUCCGUCUUGGGUGCCGCUUGGGAAUUUAUAUAACUGGAAGUAGUUUAAUUGGUGUUGCCAUCAAAGCUCUUCGGAUUACUUCAAAAAAUCUGAUCAGGAGAACAGAAAAUGAAUAAACUUCCAGCUAUCAAAUUGACUAGUGAACAAAAAGGUUUCAGCUAACAAAUUGAAACAACAGGCGGUCAAGGCUUCCUACGAACAUGAAAGGCAAAAAUAUGUUGAAACUUCUCAAUCAAUACCUUCUUAUUCUUGCCCAAAUGGGGGUAUUAUUUCUUCUCAUUAUUUUCCUUGUUAAUUUGGUUACAAUUGAAGUGCAUUGCAUUAGCAUUGAGUCCAUAGUUUUGAUACUUAUUCCAUUGGUUUUGAACUUUGAAGUUUAUUUAGACAGUGUAACUUGUCCAAAAGAAAAACAGUGGAAAGUUCAAAAUUCUGAACCAUGUUUACUUCAUCCUGGAGAUCCUCCUAGAAGACUAAUUUUCACCCAAAUGAUUAGAUGUUGUCAAAUAUUAUUUGACUAUGUGGCUUAUUUCUACAGGUGCGGCCUUAUAAACUGUGGAUUGAAAUGGAAAAUAUUGAGAAAGGGAUUGUAGAAAUCAUUGCUCAGAAUAAUAUAAAAUGGCUUGUUAUGGGAGCUGCAGCAGAUAAAUAUUAUUCAAAGUAUUAACCAUCUAUUACAAGUUCUUAUUGUUGACUGCAUUGAUUUAUUUGAUAUUGUUGUAGAAUUACUCGAGGCUUCCACCUUAGGCAUUUGGGAUAAAAGUUUUGUUGAAUUUAGUGGAAUUUAUUGAAGCUUCUACAAGAAUUAUCCAAUAUUAGUGCACAAGUAUUGUUGCUCUGUAGGAGGCCUCUUGAUGUAGCCUAGUCGGUUAUAAAUUGCUAUGAAGAUUAACCCAAUUUUAAGUCAUAAAAGAUCAGCUCCUCGUAGUGCUAUACUUUUCUUUUCAGCAUUUUAGGAAUUAAAUUGGCAGACAUAUCUUUUCAAUAUAUUUCUCAGGCAGUUGAUAAAGUUGGGUUAUUUCUUUUGUGUUAGAAUCAAUGUUGCUCUGGCGCUUCAAAAUAUGUGAUACAUGUAGAGGGUUAUGGAUUGUGAGCUAUCAAUGGGAGCAUCCAUCAAAGAAAAGAGGAACACAUUCCUAGUAUACAGGAAGUUCCACAGUAUACUUUCUUAAUUUGUUCCUCUUUUGAAUGAUAUCUCAAAACAAGCAAAGCACUCACAUUGCAUAUGCUAUGUUGUUUUAACAAAUCAUUUACCCAAGCUAUGAAAAAAAAAAACAAAAGGAAAAUUGGAUGCUUUGAUAAUUUAGCCAUGUCUUUAUAUUUGAGGAUUAGAUGAAUUGAUACCUAAACACAUUGGAGAUUGAUCAAACUUAUGUAUCUAAUUGAGAAACUUAUUGGUGUGAGCUAGUUAUUUAAUAUUUUAUAAGUACGUAUUCUUUAAAAGAAUUUGAAGACUGUAGCAUGUAACAGCAUGAUUGAGAAUGAAAAUUUCAGCAAAAGGAAGAAAAUGUUUAUUUAAAAUUAAGUCUCGUGAUUUUAACUCAAGGCAUUAGCUUUGGUAUGUGCAUGUGCAAUUAAUUAUAAUUAAGGUAUUGUUUUUAGGCUGAUAACAUUAAAAUGCCCUGAUAACCUUAAAAUGUGCAGAUAUCAAAAUAGGUCAAACUUAUACCAAUUUAAUUGAUGCAUUUGCUUUCAGUUUCUAAAUUUACUGAUCCAGUCUCAUGAAGAUUGCAGGAAAAUGGUUGAGGUCAAGUCAUUCAGAGAAAAAGGUGGAGCCUGAGGCAUCUUUUGAAAUUUUGACCAACCCAGCGUGGGUGGUUCCUGCUGAGGAGAAGUUCAUUAAAUUUCUGGAAGAAAGCAGAUAUGUCCCAGGGGAAAAACUCAUAAAGAAAGAAAAAAAUGUGCAUUUGUGUUGAGCUAGUACAACAUGAAUAGAUUUUGUGACUCUUUUGUAUUAGUGAACUAUGUUUUGUUCUUCACUUACCUUACCACCCCCUCCCCCACAUUUCUCACAUGCAAAAUAAUGUUCUCAAAUCUCUCCCUCAUUGUAACUGUGUAAAUGUGGAUCUAAUUGAAAUCGGUCUUGUUUGUUUCAA